GAGUUUGAUCGUGGCUCAGGAUGAACGCUAGCGGCAGGCUUAACACAUGCAAGUCGAGGGGUAGAGUAGCAAUACUUGAGACCGGCGCACGGGUGCGUAACGCGUAUGCAACCUACCUUUUACAGAGGGAUAGCCCAGAGAAAUUUGGAUUAAUACCUCAUAGUAUAUGUCUUUCGCAUGUUAGACAUAUACAAAGUUCCAACGGUAAAGAUGGCAUGCGUCCUAUUAGCUAGAUGGUAAGGUAACGGCUUACCAUGGCAACGAUAGGUAGGGUCCUGAGAGGGAGACUCCCCACACUGGUACUGAGACACGGACCAGACUCCUACGGGAGGCAGCAGGUGGGGAAUAUUGGACAAUGGGCGCAAGCCUGAUCCAGCCAUACCGCGUGGGU
rnacentral:rRNA from 1 species